CCUACGGGGGGCAGCAGUGGGGAAUAUUGCACAAUGGGGGAAACCCUGAUGCAGCGACGCCGCGUGAGUGAAGAAGUAUUUCGGUAUGUAAAGCUCUAUCAGCAGGGAAGAAAAUGACGGUACCUGAUUAAGAAGCCCCGGCUAACUACGUGCCAGCAGCCGCGGUAAUACGUAGGGGGCAAGCGUUAGCCGGAUUUACUGGGUGAAAAGGGAGCGUAGACGGCAGGGCAAUGCUGAAGUGAAAUGCCGGGGCUUAACCCCGGAACUGCUUUGGAAACUGUGCAGCUAGAGUGCAGGAGAGGUAAGUGGAAUUCCUAGUGUAGCGGUGAAAUGCGGAGAUAUUAGGAGGAACACCAGUGGCGAAGGCGGCUUACUGGACCGUAACUGACGUUGAGGCUCGAAAGCGUGGGGAGCAAACAGGAUUAGAUACCCGGGUAGUC
rnacentral:rRNA from 1 species